CUGCAGGUGCGCCCCUUUAAAGAGCCUGGUGUGGUACAAAGGCAUUCGGCAGUUGGAGUAACACGGAGUGCAGGCCGUCUCGGUCCGCUGUUUCACCAGAAUGGAUGGAGAGAUUUAAAGAUCGGGCCGACUCAACGAAAGCCGAGAUCAGGGAAAUGAGGCCUUGGUUUAAGGGCUUGAUUUCUUCACCGACAAAAAAUAAGAACCCCGACAUUCCUGUGGUGGAAAGCCAUUGCUGGAUCCUAUUUCCCACCAAUCUCCGCUGAGAGCACUCAGAGACACAUGGAGAUUGUUACCCACUGAAAAAGCUGUGUAAUCCAACCAGUUUCCUUUAAGACUUUCCUUUUUUUUAAACUGUAAAACACGUUGUAUUUCAUUCAAGGUUCCAGUUGCUCAGAAGGGGGGGCGUGAGAGUUUGUCUCAUGGCCUUUACUGGACUGAUGAUGGAUAGCCCAGGACCACAUUCCGUCAGAGUUGAGGGGGUGGUGCAGUUCUUGAUGACCUGUUGAUGUCUUCGAAGAAGAUAUUUAACCCGUAACCUCCACACUUGCCGCGUGAGUUGUGUGUGGUAAAAAGAAUACAAUAUAUGCACAAUAAGUGGUCUGGACAUAAUUUAUCAAGCAAUUAUAGAGGAAAAUGUCAUUUUGGUGGCAGUGGCGUGCUCACUGAAGAAGCUAUUUACUUUGGACAAAAGCAAUGAAUGUGCGUGCAAGAGAGUGGCUUGUGAUUGCCACUUUAAUGCUUUGACAACCAUUUAAGGAAAGGUGGUUGUUUGUAAUCUGGCUUUGGUUCUAUAAAAUAAAAAAUAAAAACAAAGAUCUUGAAAC